rnacentral:rRNA from 1 species
UUCCUACGGGAGGCAGCAGUGGGGAAUAUUGCACAAUGGGCGAAAGCCUGAUGCAGCAACGCCGCGUGAGGGACGACGGCCUUCGGGUUGUAAACCUCUUUUAGCAGGGAAGAAGCGAAAGUGACGGUACCUGCAGAAAAAGCGCCGGCUAACUACGUGCCAGCAGCCGCGGUAAUACGUAGGGCGCAAGCGUUAUCCGGAAUUAUUGGGCGUAAAGAGCUCGUAGGCGGUUUGUCGCGUCUGCUGUGAAACCCCGAGGCUCAACCUCGGGCCUGCAGUGGGUACGGGCAGACUAGAGUGCGGUAGAGGAGAUUGGAAUUCCUGGUGUAGCGGUGGAAUGCGCAGAUAUCAGGAGGAACACCGAUGGCGAAGGCAGAUCUCUGGGCCGUAACUGACGCUGAGGAGCGAAAGGGUGGGGAGCAAACAGGCUUAGAUACCCUGGUAGUCCACCCCGUAAACGUUGGGAACUAGUUGUGGGGUCCAUUCCACGGAUUCCGUGACGCAGCUAACGCAUUAAGUUCCCCGCCUGGGGAGUACGGCCGCAAGGCUAAAACUCAAAGGAAUUGACGGGGACCCGCACAAGCGGCGGAGCAUGCGGAUUAAUUCGAUGCAACGCGAAGAACCUUACCAAGGCUUGACAUAUACGAGAACGGGCCAGAAAUGGUCAACUCUUUGGACACUCGUAAACAGGUGGUGCAUGGUUGUCGUCAGCUCGUGUCGUGAGAUGUUGGGUUAAGUCCCGCAACGAGCGCAACCCUCGUUCUAUGUUGCCAGCACGUAAUGGUGGGAACUCAUGGAAUACUGCCGGGGUCAACUCGGAGGAAGGUGAGGAUGACGUCAAAUCAUCAUGCCCCUUAUGUCUUGGGCUUCACGCAUGCUACAAUGGCCGGUACAAUGGGCUGCAAUACCGCAAGGUGGAGCGAAUCCCAAAAAGCCGGUCCCAGUUCGGAUUGAGGUCUGCAACUCGACCUCAUGAAGUCGGAGUCGCUAGUAAUCGCAGAUCAGCAACGCUGCGGUGAAUACGUUCCCGGGUCUUGUACACACCGCCCGUCAAGUCAUGAAAGUCGGUAACACCUGAAGCCGGUGGCCCAACCCUUGUGGAGGGAGCC